UGAUGCUCUAACAGCAGUUGAUAAAAAUGAGUGGAAACCAACAGAAACCAGAAGGACCUAGAGGAUUCCAGUAGAGGCUGAUGAAUUUCCACUAGUAAAAUGAGAAUAGUCCUCAAAAGUACAGGGCCUUCUGUCUGUGCCUAAUCAUUGAGGAUUUGAUCUCAGGAGAACAGGAACAAGAUUCUUGGGAAAAAAAUCUAAGUGUUACACAAAAUAACUUGACUUACAGUACAGAGCAAAUGCCAUCUGAUGGCACAUCAAGUCAUGAAAUGGAGCAAAAGCAAGCAUAUACAAUGAAGAAUGACUUUGUUUUCAUAAGAAGAAGUUGCCAUGAGUACAAGCUGUGCCAAAUCAAGCCUUACCAGUCACAAGUAGUAACCC